rnacentral:rRNA from 1 species
UACGUAGGGUGCAAGCGUUAAUCGGAAUUACUGGGCGUAAAGCGUGCGCAGGCGGUUUUGUAAGACUGGCGUGAAAUCCCCGGGCUUAACCUGGGAACUGCGUCGGAUACUGGAUGGCUUGAAUUCGGGAGAGGGAUGCAGAAUUCCAGGUGUAGCGGUGAAAUGCGUAGAUAUCUGGAGGAAUACCGGUGGCGAAGGCGGCAUCCUGGACCGACAUUGACGCUGAACGGCGAAAGCUAGGGGAGCAAACGGG